rnacentral:rRNA from 1 species
AGCGAACGCUGGCGGCAGGCUUAACACAUGCAAGUCGAGCGGGCACUUUCGGGUGUCAGCGGCGGACGGGUGAGUAACGCGUGGGAACGUGCCCUCUGGUUCGGAAUAACUCAGGGAAACUUGAGCUAAUACCGGAUACGCCCUUUUGGGGAAAGGCUUGCUGCCGGAGGAUCGGCCCGCGUCUGAUUAGCUAGUUGGUGAGGUAACGGCUCACCAAGGCGACGAUCAGUAGCUGGUCUGAGAGGAUGAUCAGCCACACUGGGACUGAGACACGGCCCAGACUCCUACGGGAGGCAGCAGUGGGGAAUAUUGGACAAUGGGCGCAAUCCUGAUCCAGCCAUGCCGCGUGAGUGAUGAAGGCCUUAGGGUUGUAAAGCUCUUUUAUCCGGGACGAUAAUGACGGUACCGGAGGAAUAAGCCCCGGCUAACUUCGUG